GGGGCAGCAGUACUUUUCGGAGUAGCUGGCGACCGGCGCACGGGUGCGUAACGCGUAUGCAAUCUACCCACAGCACAGGGAUAGCCCGUGGAAACAUGGAUUAAUACCUGAUAACACAUUGUUUUCACCUGGGGACGAUGUUAAAGUUUUAACGGCAGUGGAUGAGCAUGCGUCCCAUUAGCUAGUUGGUGAGAUAACGGCUCACCAAGGCGAUGAUGGGUAGGGGUUCUGAGAGGAUGAUCCCCCACACUGGUACUGAGAUACGGACCAGACUCCUACGGGAGGCAGCAGUAGGGAAUAUUGGUCAAUGGACGCAAGUCUGAACCAGCCAUGCCGCGUGCAGGAAGACGGCCUUCUGGGUUGUAAACUGCUUUUAUCAGGGAAGAAAAUACUCUUGCGAGAGUAAUUGCCGGUACCUGAGGAAUAAGCACCGGCUAACUCCGUGCCAGCAGCCGCGGUAAUACGGAGGGUGCAAGCGUUGUCCGGAUUUAUUGGGUUUAAAGGGUGCGUAGGCGGCCUAUUAAGUCAGUGGUGAAAGGUAUCAGCUUAACUGAUGACGUGCCAUUGAAACUGAAAGGCUUGAGUACAGACGAGGUAGGCGGAAUUUAUGGUGUAGCGGUGAAAUGCAUAGAUACCAUAAAGAACACCAAUUGCGAAGGCAGCUUACUAGACUGUAACUGACGCUGAGGGACGAAAGCGUGGGGAGCGAACAGGAUUAGAUACCCUGGUAGUCCACGCCGUAAACGAUGAUCACUAGACAUUGGCGAUAUACUGUCGGUGUCAAAGCGAAAGUAUUAAGUGAUCCACCUGGGGAGUACGGUCGCAAGACUGAAACUCAAAGGAAUUGACGGGGGCCCGCACAAGCGGUGGAGCAUGUGGUUUAAUUCGAUGAUACGCGAGGAACCUUACCUGGGCUUAAAUGCAGAACGACAGACUGGGAAACCAGUCCUUCUUCGGACGGUCUGCAAGGUGCUGCAUGGUUGUCGUCAGCUCGUGCCGUGAGGUGUCGGGUUAAGUCCCAUAACGAGCGCAACCCCUAUCGUUAGUUGCUAGCAGGUAAUGCUGAGGACUCUAACUAAACUGCCCGUGCAAGCGGUGAGGAAGGUGGGGAUGACGUCAAAUCAUCACGGCCCUUACGUCCAGGGCUACACACGUGCUACAAUGGCGCAUACAAAGGGCAGCUACCUGGUGACAGGAUGCUAAUCUCUAAAGUGCGUCUCAGUUCGUAUCGAAGUCUGCAACUCGACUUCGUGAAGCUGGAAUCGCUAGUAAUCGCGCAUCAGCCAUGGCGCGGUGAAUACGUUCCCGGGCCUUGUACACACCGCCCGUCAAGCCAUGGAAGCUGGGAGUGCCUGAAGUC
rnacentral:rRNA from 1 species